rnacentral:tRNA from 1 species
GAGGUUAUAGCUCAGUGGUAGAGCACAUGCCUAAUGUGCAUAAGGUCCUGGGUUCAAUCCUCAGUACCUCU